AUGAAAUAUCAGGGUGCCAGUCUGCAUUUCAAUAGGUCAGAAUCUGACCUAUUGAAAUGCAGACUUGCAGCCUGAUAUUUCAUUAUCCAAGUCUCUUUGGGAAACAAUUGAGAGCAUGCCAAUCCAGCCAACUGCCAGUUUUCUUUCCAUGGGGCAACCAUGAUAAUAAAAUAGCAUCCUACUUAUAUACGCAUUUCCUUUCAGGCCCGUUAUAUAGGGAGAACCCCGUCCGUUAUAUAGGGAGAACCCCGUCCGUUAUAUAGGGAGAACCCCGUCAGGCACUGAUCUGGUCUGCAUAGAAAAGCCUGCAAGAGUGUUCGGAUUUAGGACGUAUCAAUUUGGCCCGUUAUAUAGGGAGAUAUAACAGAACCCCAUCAGGGACUGAGCUGGUCUGCAUAGAAAAGCCUGCAAGAGGAAACAAUGAUGUCAAGAAAAAGAAAAAUUGACUCGGAGUGUAGGAUAUUCAAAGAACAGUGGACUUACGAUUACUUUUUCAUGCGGUAUAAAGAAAAAGCUGUGUGUCUGAUAUGCCAGAAUAUAGUUGCUGUGUUCAAAGAAUACAAUUUGCG